GUAGGGUGCGAGCGUUGCCCGGAUUUACUGGGCGUAAAGGGCGCGCAGGCGGCUACGCACGUCCGUUGUGAAAUCGCUCGGCUCAACUGGGCGGGGUCAGCGGAUACGGCGUAGCUGGAGCAAGCUAGGGGGCAAUGGAAUUCCCGGUGUAGUGGUGGAAUGCGUAGAUAUCGGGAGGAACACCAGUGGCGAAGGCGGUUGCCUGGAGCUUUGCUGACGCUGAGGCGCGAAAGCGUGGGGAGCGAUCCGGAUUAGAUACCCGGGUAGUCCACGCCGUAAACGAUGUCGACUAGGUGUCGGGGGUAUCGACCCCCUCGGCGCCGCAGCUAACGCAUUAAGUCGACCGCCUGGGGACUACGGCCGCAAGGCUA
rnacentral:rRNA from 1 species